GGCAGUCCGAAAGUAGACUCCGAGGGGAGAAAAAAUAAAAUAUUGGACAAGAGAUGAAGCGUGUGCGUGAGAAAGAAGAGUUAAAAAAAACAAAUUUGGUUUUUUUCUGAAGUAUUUUAGACGACAAAUUUGGACGCCGGUAGACAGUAUGGUCUAUAAAGUAGGAUCAACGCGGUCCAGCGAGUGACAAUUCGGUCGUUCGAGCCGGAUAACCCAACUCCUGCCUCUUUGUUAGGUGAGUUAGUAACAACAAUAGUUUUUUUUCAAGCUCUCAAGCUGUAUGGGGUAUGUUUGCUUAUUUCUGGAAUUAGGUUAUUUAUAUGAUAUAUUAUCCAGUGGAAAUUCAGA
rnacentral:lncRNA from 1 species